rnacentral:tRNA from 1 species
AAUUUUGUAGUUAAAGUAUAACAUUAGAAUGCAAUUCUAAAAUUAUAAAUAAGUUUAUUUAUUAAAAUUU